CAGUCGCCACGGGAAUACGUAGGGUGCAAGCGUUAAUCGGAAUUACUGGGCGUAAAGCGUGCGCAGGCGGUUUUGUAAGACAGGUGUGAAAUCCCCGGGCUUAACCUGGGAACUGCGCUUGUGACUGCACAGCUAGGGUAUGGCAGAGGGGGGUGGAAUUCCACGUGUAGCAGUGAAAUGCGUAGAGAUGUGGAGGAACACCGAUGGCGAAGGCAGCCCCCUGGGCCAAUACUGACGCUCAUGCACGAAAGCGUGGGGAGCAAACAGGAUUAGAUACCCCGGUAGUCCCUGUCUCUUAUAC
rnacentral:rRNA from 1 species